GCGGGUCCCCGCGCGCGCCCCGCCCCGCCGGCUGCCAGCUCAGCCCCCAUUCCCGCCUUUGCGGCGGCGGCUUAACCCGGGGAGGCGGAGGUUUUCGCGAGUUCACGGGGCGGGGUCAAAACCUGGUGUUGAGUGACACAAACCCUGAUAGGUUUGAAUCCUGCCACUGCCGUUUAUUAGCUAUGAGAAUUGGGGAAAUUACCCCUCAGGGACUCGUUUUCCAUAUCUUAAAAUCCUGUAAGGAUGAUGGGAGUACUGUAUUGGGGGGUAGGCAUCCCGAAAGGCCAGUUACCUUGCUCUUUAGGGGAAGCCUCAGAAUGCCUGUCAGACAGCUUGAUUUCGAGGGGUUUCUUAGGCAGAUGUGGUCCAGCAGGGUGCCGUGUGAGCUCCCACGGGAGCUGAUGGAGCCAAGGAUGGCCCUUCCCCUGAAGCAGGCAUUUCUUGGCUCUCGAGGCUGUGAGGAGGCCCCCCAGGGAGCUCUACCUAAGAGGGCUCUGAACUCAUGCUGAUGCGGUAGGAAGCAAAAGAGACAGCCUCUCUCAGGGAGUUGGGACAGAGAUGGGGGAAGACACCAAACAAAAGAAGAGAGCAAGGAUCCUUACUUCUGAGGGCACAACCAUUAGAUUUGCUGUUUGAGUGGCCAAAGCUGCUGUUGUGUCCUGAUUGGCCCAUCUGUUUGCUGAAAUGGUUUGCUGUCAUCCCUACUUUCCCAUCAUGUUUACAACAGAGCUCAUUAACUGAGGUAAUUGGAAUAUACAACUUAGUUCCCUGGAGUUUGAUCCGGCUGUAAGGAUGUGAAGAGGCAGCCUACGUACUUCUUAUCUCUGAAGUGGAUGAAUCACCUCUUGGGCCUUUAAUGAAUUGACUAUGUUGGGAUGUUUACCUGUCCAGAUGUCUCCUGUUGCUGGUCUCACAGCAACGAGGUACCAGGAUCAGGAAGAAUUUUAUUCAUCCUUUGGAAAUGGUAGUAGGAAACCAUGCAGUCUUUGGCAUUUCGAG